AACGAACGCUGGCGGCAUGCCUAACACAUGCAAGUCGAACGAGACCUUCGGGUCUAGUGGCGCACGGGUGCGUAACGCGUGGGAACCUGCCCUUAGGUUCGGAAUAACUCCCCGAAAGGGGUGCUAAUACCGGAUAAUGUCUUCGGACCAAAGAUUUAUCGCCUUUGGAUGGGCCCGCGUUGGAUUAGCUAGUUGGUAGGGUAAAAGCCUACCAAGGCGACGAUCCAUAGCUGGUCUGAGAGGAUGAUCAUCCACACUGGGACUGAGACACGGCCCAGACUACUACGGGAGGCAGCAGUGGGGAAUAUUGGAAAAUGGGCGAAAGCCUGAUCAAGCAAUGCCGCGUGAGUGAUGAAGGCCUUAGGGUUGUAAAGCUCUUUUACCCGGGAUGAUAAUGACAGUACCGGGAGAAUAAGCUCCGGCUAACUCCGUG
rnacentral:rRNA from 1 species